CACGUAGGGGGCGAGCGUUGUCCGGAAUUAUUGGGCGUAAAGAGCUCGUAGGCGGUGUGUCGCGUCGGCCGUGAAAACUUGCAGCUUAACUGUGGGCGUGCGGUCGAUACGGGCAUCACUGGAGUUCGGCAGGGGAGACUGGAAUUCCUGGUGUAGCGGUGAAAUGCGCAGAUAUCAGGAGGAACACCGGUGGCGAAGGCGGGUCUCUGGGCCGAUACUGACGCUGAGGAGCGAAAGCGUGGGGAGCGAACAGG
rnacentral:rRNA from 1 species